GGAUUAGAUACCCUGGUAGUCCACGCUGUAAACGAUGAGUACUAGGUGUCGGCUUAGCCGGUGCCGCAGCUAACGCAUUAAGUACUCCGCCUGAGUAGUAUGCUCGCAAGAGUUAAACUCAAAGGAAUUGACGGGGACCCGCACAAGCGGUGGAGCAUGUGGUUUAAUUCGAAGCAACGCGAAGAACCUUACCUGGCCUUGACAUCCUGCGAAUCUCUUGGAGACAAGAGAGUGCCUUCGGGAACGCAGAGACAGGUGCUGCAUGGCUGUCGUCAGCUCGUGCCG
rnacentral:rRNA from 1 species